rnacentral:misc_RNA from 1 species
UUUCCGUAGGUGAACCUGCGGAAGGAUCAUUAAUGAGUUGUCAUGGGGUUCGCUCCUGGCAGCCAAUUUUUGGAUGCAUGUGCUUGCCCUAACAAUCAUCUUCCAAACACCUGUGCACAUUUUUGAGGGAGUCUUGAGUUGGUUGCCGCUCUUGGGUGAUUUUCUCACAUUCCCUUAAAUCAUUAUACGCUAUUAACAAUGUUGAACGUGCUCUGUGCCGCAAGGCUAUUAAUAUAAUACAACUUUUAACAACGGAUCUCUUGGCUCUC